UCUAUGAGAAUGGGUAAGGAUGUUAUCAGAAAGCUCUCUGAAUUUGCUGCUUCACACUUCAAGAUCAGCACUGAAGAAGGUCUCCAUAAGAUUGAAGAAUUGGAAAAGCACAAGAUCAUCAUCAAGGAAAUCUGGGGCUGAGUGAAAUAGGUGC
rnacentral:ribozyme from 1 species